UAUUAAAAAUUUCAUUUAUUUCUAUUGUCAAGAACUGACAUCACCAACGAAAUAAUCAGAUAGUUACAUGUGACUUACGGUGACUAAUUUUUAACAAUAGAAAUAGAUGAAUUUUUUAAUU
rfam:Gossypium hirsutum cultivar TM-1 unplaced genomic scaffold scaffold280.1, whole genome shotgun sequence